rnacentral:rRNA from 1 species
CGGGACGGGUGAGUAAUGUCUGGGAAACUGCCUGAUGAGGGGGAUAACUACUGGAAACGGUAGCUAAUACCGCAUAACGUCGCAAGACCAAAGAGGGGGACCUUCGGGCCUCUUGCCAUCGGAUGUGCCCAGAUGGGAUUAGCUAGUAGGUGGGGUAACGGCUCACCUAGGCGACGAUCCCUAGCUGGUCUGAGAGGAUGACCAGCCACACUGGAACUGAGACACGGUCCAG